rnacentral:rRNA from 1 species
UGGGGAAUUGUUCGCAAUGGGCGCAAGCCUGACGACGCAACGCCGCGUGGAGGAUGAAGGUCUUCGGAUUGUAAACUCCUGUUGACCGGGACGAACGGGCCUAGAGUGAAUAGCUCGAGGCAGUGACGGUACCGGUUGAGGAAGCCACGGCUAACUCUGUGCCAGCAGCCGCGGUAAUACAGAGGUGGCAAGCGUUGUUCGGAAUUACUGGGCGUAAAGGGCGCGUAGGCGGCCUUCUAAGUCAGACGUGAAAUCCCCAGGCUUAACUUGGGAACUGCGUCUGAUACUGGAGGGCUUGAGUGCGGGAGAGGGAUGUGGAAUUCCAGGUGUAGCGGUGAAAUGCGUAGAUAUCUGGAGGAACACCGGUGGCGAAGGCGGCAUCCUGGACCGACACUGACGCUGAGGCGCGAAAGCUAGGGGAGCAAACGGG